GUAGCUUACUAAAUAAAGCGCCUCGCUUACACCGAGUAGAAGUCUGUUUAACCCAGAUCAUUUUGAGCCCAAAACCAAGCCUAAUCUUACCUGCAUACACCCUAUACCCACCCACACAAUGAAUUGAUAAAACAUUUUAACUAUUUAGUAGAGGUGAUCAAAAAAUAAAUUAGAGCCUCAUAAGAAGUACCGCAAGGGAAUGGUGAAAUAAAUAUGAAAUAGCUUUAAAGCGUACUAUAGCAGAGUAAUCCCCUCGUACCUUUUGCAUCAUGGUUUAGCCAGUCUUUAUCAAGCAAAGCGAGACACAAGUUUGAUCCCCCGAAACUGGGCGAGCUACUUCGAAACAGCUUUUAGAGCCAACCCGUCUCUGUUGCAAAAGAGUGGGAUGAUUUCCAAGUAGUGGUGAUAAGCCUAUCGAGCCCAGAGAUAGCUGGUUAUUCAGAAAAAGAAUAUUAGUUCUACCUUAAGCUUAAUAAUUAUAACAAAAAUAACUGUAAACUUAAGAGUUAUUCAAAUAAGGCACAGCUUGUUUGAAAAAGGACACAACCUAGAAUAAUGGGUAAGUAACCCCCUAUACGACGCUAAGUGGGCCUGAAAGCAGCCACCUUUAAAAAAGCGUUAAAGCUUAGUUCUUCUUCCAAUUUAUAAUUCCUUCAUUAUAUACGAACCCUCAACCAAAACUGAAUAAUCCUAUAAUUAUAUAGGAGAUAUAAUGCUAAAACUAGUAACAAGAAGAAGACCUUCUCCAAAAUGCAAGCAAAACCCAACUUAGACUAACUAUUGGCUAUUAACGCCUAUGACCUUAAUAUAGUAACUGACCCUAGCAAACCCUAUACACUAUGACGUUAACCUUACACAAGAGCAUUCCUGGAAAGAUUAAAAGAAAAAGAAGGAACUCGGCAAAUUCAGGCCUCGCCUGUUUACCAAAAACAUCGCCUCUUGUCUUUUCAUAAGAGGUCCAGCCUGCCCAGUGACACAAUUAAACGGCCGCGGUACCCUGACCGUGCGAAGGUAGCAUAAUAACUUGUUCUUUAAAUGGGGACUAGCAUGAACGGCACCACGAAGGCCUCACUGUCUCCUUUUUCCAAUCAGUGAAACUGAUCUCCCCGUGAAGAAGCGGGGAUAAUAAUAUAAGACGAGAAGACCCCAUGGAGCUUUAAACCCAAUGAGCAACCCUAAUCAACACAAUUCAUCUAAAUUCUUUCUCCCCCUGCUUUUUGGUUUUAGGUUGGGGUGACCACGGAGUAAAACAUAUCCUCCACGACGUACGGGAUUAACCCUUAUCCAAGAGCCACCGCUCUAAGAAUCGACAAAUUGACGUUUUUUGAUCCAAUAUAUUGAUCAACGAACCAAGUUACCCUGGGGAUAACAGCGCAAUCCAUUUUUAGAGCCCCUAUCGACGAAUGGGUUUACGACCUCGAUGUUGGAUCAGGGUACCCAAGUGGUGCAGC
rnacentral:rRNA from 1 species